CGGAGGGUGCGAGCGUUGUCCGGAAUCAUUGGGCGUAAAGGGCGCGUAGGUGGCGCGGUAAGCGUGCGGUGAAAGCUCGGGGCUCAACCCCGAGUCGGCCGUGCGAACUGCUGGGCUUGAGCACUGUAGAGGCAGGCGGGAAUUCCGGGUGUAGCGGUGGAAUGCGUAGAGAUCCGGAAGAACACCGGUGGCGAAGGCGGCCUGCUGGGCAGUACGCUGACACUGAGGCGCGACAGCGUGGGGAGCAAACAGGAUUAGAUACCCUGGUAGUCCACGCCGUAAACGAUGGGCACUAGGCGCUUGGGGGAGCGACCCCCGAGGGCCGGCGCUAACGCAUUAAGUGCCCCGCCUGGGGAGUACGGGCCGCAAGGCUGA
rnacentral:rRNA from 1 species